CGGCGGUCCAUAUCGCGCAGAUUGCCUUUCGAAUUUUGGCGCCUUUUCGGCGGUUUCUCUCCUGUGCGUGUCGUAGCUUGUCCUCGGCGUUGUUAUCUUUGGCGUGAAGAGAAACGCCUGUUCGAUAAAGUGCACACCGUUGUUUCGAGCCUAAACACCGCAGUCUCCGAACAGACAAUGACUUCAGCUGCGCGACUAUGUUGCUUCGCAGUUGUCUUGUUCUGCUCAGUCAAGCAUAUCAGCGCCGGCUGCCUUUUCUCGAGCGAUUUCCUCAACUCGGAUUUCAAGUCGAACUCACACUUGGAUUCCUCGUCCGAAGUUGGAAGCUAUGGAGACGACGAUGGGCCCAGACUGAAAGGGUAUGGAUGCCCGCUCUACCCCGAGAAAUGCUGGGAACACUGCGCCAAGCUGAAGAGAUUUCAGGCGACUUGCGGAGGAAUUCUGCAGAUGACCUGCGUCUGCUGACGUCACAACGAUGGUGUAGAUGCGGUCAUCUUCAGCGUGCAUCCAGCAGAAAAUCGUGUUGGACGGGCGCUAGCACAGCUCGCUUAAGGAUAGUGAAACCGGAGAGUGAAGAAGACCAAAGAAUAUGGCAGCAGGAGGAAGAUGGGAUGGAGAUUGGAAUAGAUUGAAGUUUGUGCCGGAACGCGAGUAUAAGAAAGACAACCAGCGGAGGCCUCCGCUGUGACAUCGCUACUAAAAAACGUGCUUGGCUCCUCAGGCUGUUAUUGCAGGGUGUUGCACGCUUACGUCAGUUGCUUUCUGCUUCUCAAAGAUAUUCUCUUAGUUCCUAUGCAGAGCCUGGUGCUCUCAGUUUGCGAUAUUUAUCAUAAAUUCUCCUCGGUUUCUAUAAUAGGAGAGGAAAAACUUUGCUUGCAAAGUCAAACUCAGUGGGUUACUGGCUGUUUUAUUUAUUAUCUUUUUCAUCGUACGCCCAAGCUAAUACUUGAAUCCAACUCAAAAGAAAGCGCAAAUGACAGAUAACUGUACUCCUCGAGUAUUAAAGGGAAACUGAGACAUCCACCCAAAUGUAGCAAUUUGCUACAAUGGAAACCCAACCGGGUUCCUCGAAAGAAAGCCUCGCAGUUGAAGAAAAAUUCGUCCUGGUCCGGGACUCGAACCCGGGACCACCGCCUUUCCGGGGCAGCCGCUCUACCAUCUGAGCUAACCAGGCGGCUAGCAGAUGGCAGGGCGAAGUCGAAUUUGUCGACAACUCGAAGCAAAGGCAAGUGUAUUGACGUAAUAGUUCAGCGGAAAUCCGCUAGGUGGAGAUAAGUAAUUAAAGGGAAACUGAGACAUCCACCCAAAUGUAGCGUUGGGUGGGUGGGUAGUACGUGUUGCUCUGUAUGAAACGACGUUCUGAUCGGUCCGUUUUAUUUGAACAGCUGUAAUUAUUUAGCGUACACGACGAACUCGCGUUUCAAGAGGUUCGCUUACUGAAUUGUCGUUUGCAUCCUGCAUGAAGAUUUCAUCCA